GGAAGCUCUGAUGUCUCACAUACACCUACUGCAGGUUUUUGAUCAUCUUCAAUGUAGUCAGAUUGCUCAACAGAGUUGCUGGUCUCACCAUAAUAGAAGUUAAAUGGUGGUGGUGGAGCACUUUCAGACAGGAUACCUUCAUCAACAUUCUCAACGACGUCAUCGCCUUCAACACAAACACCUCCACCGCCAAGGAAUUCAUCAGCCACUUGAUCAUCACCAGGUACCACAGCCAGCUCUUCAUUUUCUUCCCAUUCCUCCUCAAUAAAAGGGGCACCAUACUGUUCUCCAUUUUUUGGUCCAGUACCACUCUUCUGGAAUAUCCUACACAGCACAAACGCAUCCUGCACAAUUGCAAUUUUUCCCAUCUCCUCGUCAGUGAGUUUGUAUUCGUGCAUCACCCAAUUGGUUCGUGCACCACGAGGAGCCCGACCAAUAUGAUACACAAGGGUCUUCUUCAUUCCAACUGUCCUCGCGCUAUGGCGGACCGGCCGGUCCUUUCCCGUCGUCUUCCAGUACCCUUUCU
rnacentral:misc_RNA from 1 species